rnacentral:rRNA from 1 species
CCCUACGGGGGGCAGCAGUAGGGAAUCUUCCACAAUGGACGAAAGUCUGAUGGAGCAACGCCGCGUGAGUGAAGAAGGGUUUCGGCUCGUAAAGCUCUGUUGGUAGUGAAGAAAGAUAGAGGUAGUAACUGGCCUUUAUUUGACGGUAAUUACUUAGAAAGUCACGGCUAACUACGUGCCAGCAGCCGCGGUAAUACGUAGGUGGCAAGCGUUGUCCGGAUUUUUUGGGCGUAAAGCGAGUGCAGGCGGGUUAAAUAGUGUGAUGUUGAAGCCUUCGGGUUCACCGGGGGAAUUGAU